CGAAGUCUGGUGCCAGCAGCCGCGGUAAUUCCAGCUCCAAUAGCGUAUAUUAAAGUUGUUGCAGUUAAAAGCUCGUAGUUGAAUUUCGGGAUCAAUACGUCGGUCGUGCUUCGGUACGUACUAACGUCAUUGAUUUCUCCCUUCUGACGAAUCGUGAUGUCAUUAAUUUGGUGUUACGGGGAGUUAGGACUGUUACUUUGAAAAAUUAGAGUGUUUAAAGCAAGCAAUCGCUCGAAUACAUUAGCAUGGAAUAAUGAAAUAGGACGUUCGAACCUAUUUUGUUGGUUUCUAGGAUCGACGUAAUGAUUAAUAGGGAUAGUUGGGGGCAUUAGUAUUCAAUUGUCAGAGGUGAAAUUCUUGGAUUUAUUGAAGACUAACUACUGCGAAAGCAUUUGCCAAGGAUGUUUUCAUUAAUCAAGAACGAAAGUUAGGGGGAUCGAAGACGAUCAGAUACCGUCGUAGUCUUAACCAUAAACUAUGCCGACUAGGGAUCGGAUGAUGUUAAUUUUUUAAUGACUCAUUCGGCGCCUUACG
rnacentral:rRNA from 1 species